AUUGAACGCUGGCGGCAGGCCUAACACAUGCAAGUCGAGCGGUAGAGAGGUGCUUGCAUCUCUUGAGAGCGGCGGACGGGUGAGUAAUGCCUAGGAAUCUGCCUAGUGGUGGGGGAUAACGUUCGGAAACGGACGCUAAUACCGCAUACGUCCUACGGGAGAAAGCGGGGGAUCUUCGGACCUCGCGCCAUUAGAUGAGCCUAGGUCGGAUUAGCUAGUUGGUGAGGUAAUGGCUCACCAAGGCGACGAUCCGUAACUGGUCUGAGAGGAUGAUCAGUCACACUGGAACUGAGACACGGUCCAGACUCCUACGGGAGGCAGCAGUGGGGAAUAUUGGACAAUGGGCGAAAGCCUGAUCCAGCCAUGCCGCGUGUGUGAAGAAGGUCUUCGGAUUGUAAAGCACUUUAAGUUGGGAGGAAGGGUAGUAACCUAAUACGUUGCUACUUUGACGUUACCGACAGAAUAAGCACCGGCUAACUUCGUGCCAGCAGACC
rnacentral:rRNA from 1 species